rnacentral:rRNA from 1 species
UGGGGAAUUGUUCGCAAUGGGCGCAAGCCUGACGACGCAACGCCGCGUGGAGGAUGAAGGUCUUCGGAUCGUAAACUCCUGUUGCCCGGGACGAAUAGCUUCGACCUAACACGUCGGAGUAUGACGGUACCGGGUGAGGAAGCCCCGGCUAACUCUGUGCCAGCAGCCGCGGUAAUACAGAGGGGGCAAGCGUUGUUCGGAAUUACUGGGCGUAAAGGGCGCGUAGGCGGCCUGUUAAGUCGAACGUGAAAUCCCUGGGCUCAACCCAGGAACUGCAUCCGAUACUGGCUGGCUUGAAUCCGGGAGAGGGAUGCGGAAUUCCAGGUGUAGCGGUGAAAUGCGUAGAUAUCUGGAGGAACACCGGUGGCGAAGGCGGCAUCCUGGACCGGUAUUGACGCUGAGGCGCGAAAGCCAGGGGAGCAAACGGGAUUAGAUACCCAUGUAGUCCCUGAGCGGGCUGGCAAGGCGCAU